UAAAAUAUUUAUGUUUUUGGAAAUUUGAUGUAUAUUUAUUCUACAUAUAAAUUUUAGUAUUAAAUUUUAAUUAUUUUAAUAAUAAUUAAUUAUAAAAGUAGUAAUUAAUAUUAAAAAUUUAAGAAAUUAAGAUUUAGUAAUAUAUAAAUUAAUAACUAAUUUUGUGCCAGCAGUUGCGGUUAAACAAAAUAUUAAAUUAAAUUAUUUCAGUAUAUAAUUAAUAAAUUAUUAUUUAAAUUAAAUAUUAAAUUUUUAAGUGAAAUUUUAAUUUAAUUAAAUUUUAUUUUUUUAUUAUGAUUUAAUAAAUUUUAUAAUAAACUAGGAUUAGAUACCCUAUUAUUAAAAAAUUAAAAUAAAAUACUAAAAUAGUAUAUAUUAUUUAUUGAAACUUAAAUAAUAUGGCGGUAUUUUAGUUCAUUUAGAGGAAUCUGUUUAAUAAUUGAUAAUCCACGAAUAAAUUUACUUAAUUUAUAAUUUUGUAUAUCAUUGUUAAAAAAAUAUUUUUAUAUAAAAAUAAUAUUUAAAAAUUUAUAAUAGAAAUUAAUUCAGAUCAAGAUGCAGAUUAUAAUUAAGAAUAUAAUGGAUUACAAUAAAUAUAUUUAUAUGAAUAAAAUAUUGAAAAAUAUUUUUGAAGGUGGAUUUAAAUGUAAUUUUAAUUAGUUUAUUAAAAUGGUUUUAAAUUAAAAUAUGUACAUAUUGCCCGUCACUUUCAUUUAAAAAUUGGAAUAAGUCGUAACAAAGUAGAGGUACUGGAAAGUGUUUCUAGAAAGAU
rnacentral:rRNA from 1 species